rnacentral:rRNA from 1 species
UAGGGAAUCUUGCGCAAUGGGCGAAAGCCUGACGCAGCGACGCCGCGUGAGGGAAGAAGGCCUUCGGGUUGUAAACCUCUUUCAGGAGGGACGAAGCCACUCGGGUUAAUAGCCUAGAGGGUGACGGUACCUCCAGAAGAAGCCCCGGACUAACUACGUGCCAGCAGCCGCGGUAAUACGUAGGGGGCAAGCGUUGUCCGGAUUUAUUGGGCGUAAAGAGCGUGUAGGCGGCCUUACAGGUCAGCUGUGAAAACUCGAGGCUCAACCUCGAGACGUCGGUUGAAACCGUAUGGCUAGGAGUCCGGAAGAGGAGAGUGGAAUUCCCGGUGUAGCGGUGAAAUGCGCAGAUAUCGGGAAGAACACCCGUGGCGAAGGCGGCUCUCUGGGACGGUACUGACGCUGAGACGCGAAAGCGUGGGGAGCGAACAGGAUUAGAUACCCUGGUAGUCCACGCCGUAAACGAUGGGCACUAGGUGUGGCGGGUAUCGACUCCCGGCUGUGCCGAAGCUAACGCAUUAA